rnacentral:lncRNA from 1 species
GCAGUAGCACUGUCUUUCUUGGAUAAAGUCUGCAUCUCCUACCAAGAAAAAAUCUAAGAGGUAUUGCCAAGCUAAUGCACAUGGUUAAAGUAACUGCCCCAUUGCCCCUUUUCUUUCUUUCUUUUAAUUUUUUUGUUCUAGGUUUACUGCACUUGCCUCUAGCAGUUAUGGAAUUCUAUGCCACUCAAAUCCUCUAUCUGUUGCAAAAAUGUGCAUCCCAAGAUGGUGCUCUUGAGCUGUGGUGCAGUAUCUUCAGACAGACACUGUGGGUCCCACAAUGAAGCAAUGGAGAAAAAAGACACCACUAAAGAACCACCAGGGUGCAGCAUUCCUGAGUGGCAGAAGCCAUGCAGGAAAUGGCAGUAUGUACAGCUGGCACUUUGAAGAACAAUGAAUUCCUUCAAGGCUCUGUGCAGACAUUUCAAACAGUGGAUACCAGACAGGCUUGGCAUAGCUUAGACUCAAUUAUAGCUAGAAUUAUUUUAUUUCUGGGUAGGUAACUGAGAGAAGCAGGAAUUGUGCAUGUAUCUCCAUAUGGUUUUAUUUUUAAAGAAUGAAAUAGCAACAAAUAUAAACAACUGCUGUAACAGCAAAGAGCAUAAUUUCUUCUAAAAUGAGGAUUAUAUUUAGAACACUCCAAAUGGGGACACACUGUCUGACAAGAAGUCAGAAUAUCGGAAAAUGGAAGUGUCUUACUUAAUUAAAUAACCCUGAAGUAAUUUAAUAUCAUGAGUAGAUGCUGCAUCUUAGUCCAGGGAUUUUUAAAGUGUGGUUCCUGGAAGAGCUGGAUCAGAGUCAUCUGUGUUGAUGGUUUAACAUAAAGAUUUUCGAGCCCCAAGACUCAAGUAGGACAAGGAAUUUGAAUUUUUAAGCAGCUCACCUGACUUGUCUGUCCUCUAAUGUCUGAAGACAUCUGACCUCUGCUCUUUCAGUAAAAGCAACAAUGGUUUUAUGAGCAUUGUCGUCACAUCUCUCCACUCAAGGGAUCCUUCUCAUUUCUCCCAGCUGAGGUCACCCACAGCUGCUGCUUCUAACUGCUGGCUUCCAGCCUGCUGUCUGCCAGCUGGCUCUACCCUCUCCUAUAACACGGCAGAGAGUAGCUGUGGUCUCCUGCGUGCUCACCCUCUGCUCCCUUGGUCCUGCUCCAUGCUUUGGUCCUGCACUUAAAUUUUACAAGCAUACUCUCUUUCUCUUAAGUAACUGCCUGAAAAGCCAAGAAGUAGAGUGACGGGGUGGUGUUGAAGGUGGCAGACUGAUGAAGAUAAGGAGAAAUGAAUUUGGAAAAGGAGGGAGGAGCAAACCAAUGAAGAGUUGUAAAAACCAGAAAAGCAAUUCUGGAUUAGAUUUAGAAGUGGCAGAAUGACAAGGUGAAGUUUUCUAUAGGGAGAAAGUUGCUAGGUUGCCUCAUUUGAGACAGCCUGGAAUUUUUGAAAAGCGGAAAUUAAAAAAAAAAACUAGA